CCUACGGGAGGCAGCAGUGAGGAAUAUUGGUCAAUGGCCGUAAGGCUGAACCAGCCAAGUCGCGUGAAGGAAGAAGGAUCUAUGGUUUGUAAACUUCUUUUAUAGGGGAAUAAAGGUAUCCACGUGUGGCUAUUUGCAUGUACCCUAUGAAUAAGCAUCGGCUAACUCCGUGCCAGCAGCCGCGGUAAUACGGAGGAUGCGAGCGUUAUCCGGAUUUAUUGGGUUUAAAGGGUGCGUAGGUUGUUUUUUAAGUCAGCGGUGAAAGUCUGUGGCUCAACCAUAAAAUUGCCGUUGAAACUGGAAGGCUGGAGUGUGGUAGAGGUAGGCAGAAUGCGAGGUGUAGCGGUGAAAUGCAUAGAUAUCACGCAGAACUCCGAUUGCGAAGGCAGCUUACUAAGCCAAAACUGACACUGAAGCACGAAAGCGUGGGGAUCAAACAGGAUUAGAUACCCUUGUAGUC
rnacentral:rRNA from 1 species